rnacentral:rRNA from 1 species
AGUGAACGCUGGCGGUAGGCCUAACACAUGCAAGUCGAACGGCAGCACAGUAAGAGCUUGCUCUUACGGGUGGCGAGUGGCGGACGGGUGAGGAAUACAUCGGAAUCUACUUUUUCGUGGGGGAUAACGUAGGGAAACUUACGCUAAUACCGCAUACGACCUACGGGUGAAAGCAGGGGAUCUUCGGACCUUGCGCGAUUGAAUGAGCCGAUGUCGGAUUAGCUAGUUGGCGGGGUAAAGGCCCACCACGGCGACGAUCCUUAGCUGGUCUGAGAGGAUGGUCGGCCACACUGGAACUGAGACACGGUCCAGACUCCGACGGGAGGCAGCAGGGGGGAAUAUUGGACAAUGGGCGCAAGCCUGAUCCAGCCAUACCGCGUGGGUGAAGAAGGCCUUCGGGUUGUAAAGCCCUUUUGUUGGGAAAGAAAAGCAGCAGGUUAAUACCCCGCUGUUCUGACGGUACCCAAAGAAUAAGCACCGGCUAACUUCGUG